rnacentral:tRNA from 2 species
CGGAUAGCUCAGCUGGGAGAGCACCUGCCUUACAAGCAGGGGGUCACAGGUUCGAGCCCUGUUUCG